UACGUAGGGUGCAAGCGUUAAUCGGAAUUACUGGGCGUAAAGCGUGCGCAGGCGGUUUUGUAAGUCUGUCGUGAAAUCCCCGGGCUCAACCUGGGAAUUGCGAUGGAGACUGCAAGGCUAGAAUCUGGCAGAGGGGGGGUAGAAUUCCACGUGUAGCAGUGAAAUGCGUAGAGAUGUGGAGGAACACCGAUGGCGAAGGCAGCCCCCUGGGUCAAGAUUGACGCUCAUGCACGAAAGCGUGGGGAGC
rnacentral:rRNA from 1 species